rnacentral:rRNA from 1 species
AGAGUUUGAUCAUGGCUCAUGACGAACGCUGGCGGCGUGCUUAACACAUGCAAGUCGAACGGUGAUGGCCAGCUUGCUGGUCUGAUCAGUGGCGAACGGGUGAGUAACACGUGAGCAACCUGCCCUUCACUCUGGGAUAACCACGGGGAACGGUGGCUAAUACCGGAUAUGAGACGUACACGCAUGUGCCGCGUCUGGAAAGAUUUAUCGGUGAGGGAUGGGCUCGCGGCCUAUCAGCUUGUUGGUGGGGUAGUGGCCCACCAAGGCGACGACGGGUAGCCGGCCUGAGAGGGUGACCGGCCACACUGGGACUGAGACACGGCCCAGACUCCUACGGGAGGCAGCAGUGGGGAAUAUUGCACAAUGGGCGAAAGCCUGAUGCAGCAACGCCGCGUGAGGGAUGACGGCCUUCGGGUUGUAAACCUCUUUUAGCAGGGAAGAAGCGAAAGUGACGGUACCUGCAGAAAAAGCGCCGGCUAACUACGUGCCAGCAGCCGCGGUAAUACGUAGGGCGCAAGCGUUAUCCGGAAUUAUUGGGCGUAAAGAGCUCGUAGGCGGUUUGUCGCGUCUGCUGUGAAAUCCCGAGGCUCAACCUCGGGUCUGCAGUGGGUACGGGCAGACUAGAGUGCGGUAGGGGAGAUUGGAAUUCCUGGUGUAGCGGUGGAAUGCGCAGAUAUCAGGAGGAACACCGAUGGCGAAGGCAGAUCUCUGGGCCGUUACUGACGCUGAGGAGCGAAAGGGUGGGGAGCAAACAGGCUUAGAUACCCUGGUAGUCCACCCCGUAAACGUUGGGAACUAGUUGUGGGGUCCAUUCCACGGAUUCCGUGACGCAGCUAACGCAUUAAGUUCCCCGCCUGGGGAGUACGGCCGCAAGGCUAAAAC